GGUCUGGUGGUCUAGUGGUAUGAUUCUCGCUUAGGGUUAACCUUAAGAAAAUAUGCGAGAGGUCCCGGGUUCAAUCCCCGGCCAGACCC